rnacentral:rRNA from 1 species
GACAGAGGGUGCAAACGUUGUUCGGAAUUACUGGGCGUAAAGCGCAUGUAGGCGGCCUGAUAGGUCGGAUGUGAAAUCCCUCGGCUCAACCCAAGGAAGUGCAUUCGAAAACCAUCAGGCUGGAGUCCCGGAGAGGAAGGUGGAAUUCUCGGUGUAGAGGUGAAAUUCGUAGAUAUCGAGAGGAACACCGGUGGCGAAAGCGGCCUUCUGGACGAGGACUGACGCUGAGAUGCGAAAGCGUGGGGAGCAAACAGG